UGCGUGUGUACAAGACCCGGGAACGUAUUCACGGCAUCGUUCUGAUAUGCCAUUACUAGCGAUUCCAGCUUCAUGCAGGCGAGUUGCAGCCUGCAAUCCGAACUGAGACCGGUUUUUUGCGAUUGGCUCCGUCUUGCGACUUAGCAGCGCAUUGUACCGGCCAUUGUAGCACGUGUGUAGCCCUGGACAUAAAGGCCAUGAGGACUUGACGUCAUCCCCACCUUCCUCCAGCUUAUCGCUGGCGGUCUCCUGCGAGUUCCCAACUGAAUGAUGGCAACACAGGACGAGGGUUGCGCUCGUUGCGGGACUUAACCCAACAUCUCACGACACGAGCUGACGACAGCCAUGCAGCACCUCGACUGGACCCCCUUGCGGAGUAACCGUGUUUCCACGAUCGUUGACCAGCCGUUCGAGCCCAG
rnacentral:rRNA from 1 species